UAGGCCUUAGCUUAAUUAAAGUGUUUGGGUUGCAUUCAAAUGAUGUAUAUUAAACUUAUACAGGUCUUG
rnacentral:tRNA from 1 species